UUUAAUCACAUGUGAUUAAUAACUAGGAAAACAACGAUUUUCACCACUGUUCAAACUGUUUUUCAAACUGCUUUACUAUUGAAAUGUUUUACAAACUGUUUUACUAUCCAAACUUACUUAUAGACUGUGAUUCAAUCAAAUGCUUCUUAUACUUAAACUGUUUUAUCAACUUAUGCUUUCAAAAUGAUUUAUAGAUCGACAUCAAGUCAAUCUUCUCUUGAAAUUAUAAUUAUGCUUCAAAAUGUUUUAUGAAAACUUAUUUAUGCUUUAUAUAUACAAUUGCAUGCCCAUAUAUGUAUAGAUAUAUAAAUAAUGUUCAAAAGGCUUAGGAAUGCCAUCCGCCCUAUUUCCUUUUCCUCGAUUUGGAUGUGGUCUGGUGGGAUUUCGGGUGACCAUCCGAAGGUCAUUUCCAUAUUACUUAUAUAUCAUAUAUACAUGUAUAGACAUAAAAGUACUUCCAUAUUCAUACUCAUCAGUACAUCAUUAGCUGGUUACCAUCGGGGUAACGCAGGAUAAUACAUAUACAGAUAUACUAGAAACAAUACAUAUACAGAUAUACUAGAAACAAUACAUAUACAGAUAUACUAGAAACAAUACAUAUACAGAUAUACUAGAAACAAUACAUAUACAGAUAUACUAGAAACAAUACAUAUACAGAUAUACUAGAAUCAAUACAUAUACAGAUAUACUAGAAACAAUACAUAUACAGAUAUACUAGAAACAAUACAUAUACAGAUAUACUAGAAACAAUACAUAUACAGAUAUACUAGAAACAAUACAUAUACAGAUAUACUAGAAACAAUACAUAUACAGAUAUACUAGAAACAAUACAUAUACAGAUAUACUAGAAACAAUACAUAUACAGAUAUACGAGAAACAAUACAUAUACAGAUAUACUAGAAACAAUACAUAUACAGAUAUACUAGAAACAAUACAUAUACAGAAAUACUAGAAACAAUACAUAUACAGAUAUACGAGAAACAAUACAUAUACAGAUAUACUAGAAACAAUACAUAUACAGAGAUACGAGAAACAAUACAUAUACAGAUAUACGAGAAACAAUACAUAUACAUAAAUACGUAACAAUUGUGAUCCACUGUAUCGGGCAUGCCUUAAAUGUCAUGGCCCGAGUUGUAGCCAGAAUUCUCUUGGAGGGAGAGCGUGAGUUUGCGUAUAGAUCUAUACUGGAUUGACUAUCCUACACCUUGCUGCUAGCUACAGCCGGACCUGCAGGUCUGCGGGUGCCAAACGUCAUUUCUUUUAUUACGACCGUUCAUUAUGUCGUUGUUACCAGUCGAUAGCAUGGUGCAAUUUCUCACAAUAUACCUUAAUAUAAAUCCAGUUUAAGGUAGUAGUAAUAAUUAGUACAGCAGUAGUCUUAUUACACAAAGCUACAGUACUAUAAUUAAUUACCCAUCACAUAUUUUAGUGAUAACCUCACUUAAGCAUUAGUGUACAAACUAUAUUAUUAUCAAAUGAUAGUUAUACUUGGGUAAUUACAUACUUUUACAACAGACAGGUCCACAAAACAGUGUAGCCUUGGUAGAAGGUUACUUUUAUAGAAAAUAUAGGAUUUUCUGAGGGAUUCAAACUUUUACAAACACUUUCAAACAUUUGCUUACAUUUUUACAAACUUAUACAUUGAGACAGGUUCAAACGUUUUUACAAGAAACAUUGACACUAAAAUACUUAUGAACUCACCAGCUUUAUGCUGAUAAACUCUUUCAA
rnacentral:lncRNA from 1 species